GCAGACCACAUCCGCGCAUGCGCUCAGCUCCCGCAGCCGCGGCGGGACUCCUUUCUUCAUGGCUACUCUGCUCCCUCCCGCCCAGAGUCUGCAGCCACCGCCUCCAGGCGCCUCCUUCCCACCCACCGCACCCCCUCUCAGCGGCAGGUGAAGGGGGAGAACAGUAAGCAUUGUCUUUGACUCAAGGAAGCCGCCUUGCCUAGAGAAAUAUAAGAUAUUAUACUCCCUUUGUAUUCAGUGAUUAUUCAGUGAUAGACAACUGAAUACUACGAAGCUUGAAUCCCAGCCAUCUUGUUUCAAGAAAACAAGAGUCUGAGUUCAAACCUGAAUACUGUCACUUACUGUGUAACUUUCAGCAUAUUGGUUACGCUUCAGACACCUCACUUUUUUC